UACGAAGGGGGCUAGCGUUGCUCGGAUUUACUGGGCGUAAAGGGCGCGUAGGCGGAUGUUUAAGUCGGGGGUGAAAGCCCAGGGCUCAACCCUGGAACUGCCUUCGAUACUGGACAUCUUGAGUACGGGAGAGGUGAGUGGAACUCCGAGUGUAGAGGUGAAAUCCGUAGAUAUUCGGAAGAACACCAGUGGCGAAGGCGACUCACUGGCCCGUUACUGACGCUGAGGCGCGAAAGCGUGGGGAGCAAACAGG
rnacentral:rRNA from 1 species